AUAAUAAUAACGGCGUAAAGCACGACCAACAAUUAGUCUAAACAUUAGGAACGAAGCUAAUCUGGGCUGUAAAAAGCCAUAAGUCACACUAAUCACACCCUAAUACCAAACAACUUCCACUCGUGAAAGUCAGGGCACAAACUAAGAUUAGAUACCUUACUAUGCCUAACCAUAACAAAACAAUCAAAUAACCAAUUGUUCGCCAAAUAACUACGAGUAAAAACUUAAAAUUUAAAAGACUUGACGGUAUCUCAUAACAACCUAGAGGAGCCUGUCCAAUAACCGAUACCCCACGAUCAACCCAACCCACUCUAGCCGAACAGUCUAUAUACCGCCGUCGCCAGCCUACCUUGUGAAAGAAACGAAGUGAGCUAAAAAGCCACCACACUAACACGACAGGUCGAGGUGUAACUUAUGAGGGGGUAAAGAUGGGCUACAUUUUCUAACACAGAAAACACGGAUUAACCUAUGAAAUAAGAAACUAAAGGAGGAUUUAGCAGUAUAUUAGGAACAACAUACCUAAUUGAAACUAACGCAAUGAGGUGCGUACACACCGCCCGUCAUCCCUGAGUACCAAAAAUAAAACAUAUAUAAU
rnacentral:rRNA from 1 species